CUCCAAGGACCAGUGCGACUCGGUCCAGAUUGGACCGUCUCAGGACAAAGUCUGACCCCGUCUUAACCUCACAUCUGAAGAAGAGCACAGGUGACAGAAGAACCAACACAAAGCUCAGAGAGUGAUGGUGACACAAGAUCACAGGUGACAGAGGCAGCUCUGCCAUGUUGUAGCUCGGACAGAGGUGAAGAGGCGAGGUCACAGGUGACUGACUGAUGAUUUGGUGCUAUAGAUUAACGAGAGG